ACGUCUGACCUGCCCACUGAUUUAUUUAAUGGCCGCGGUAUUUUGACCGUGCAAAGGUAGCAUAAUAAUUUGUCUUUUAAUUGAAGGCUUGUAUGAAUGGUUGGACGAGAAAACUACUUUCUUUAUAAUAAAAUAAUUAAUUUUAUUUUUUAGUUAAAAAGCUAAAAUUGUGUUGUAGGACGAGAAGACCCUAUAGAACUUUAUAUUUAUUUUUAUAUUAAUAUUUUUAGUUUAUAAUAUAUUGUAUUUUUAUAAAUAUUUUGUUGGGGCGACAAGAAAAUUUAUUUAACUUUUUUUUAUUAAUUUCAUUAAUUAAUGUAUAAAUGAUCCUUUAUUAUGGAUAGUUAGAAUAAGUUACCUUAGGGAUAACAGCGUAAUUUUUUUGGAGAGUUCUUAUCGAUAAAAAAGUUUGCGA
rnacentral:rRNA from 1 species